UUCUAUGAUUUGUGUAUUGGAAAGGAAAUAAUCUUUAUCCUAAAUGUGUUUUAGAAUAUGGAAAAACUGCAGACUAAUUAGAAGCUUACAAUUAACACUGAUAUUGCACUCAGACUAAUUUCAAGAUUCUGUAAAUUAGAUGAUUGAAAAACUGCAGACAAAUUAAAAGCUUGUAAAUAACAGAUCUAUAUGUUACACUGCGGCUAUCUUCAAGAUUUCGUAAACCACAUGACGAACAAUUCAAAAUAUGUAAAACAAAAACAAAAUCAGUGCCGUUUAUGUGAUUAGUAGGAGAUUUUGUUAUUCUAAGAGUAAAAUUGAUUUUAUUUGAUCGGAAAUACAGAAAUCGACGUGACAACAUACUUUAUGAAGUGCAUUUUCUCACUAAGUUACGUAUGUGUACGACUUGUAUGGUGUAUGACUUUCAAAUGAUCAACACGGGUGUUUUAGAAAUGAAUUCCAAAUAACGGGAACCGAAAUUAUUACGUACAUGUACAUUGUGUACUCAAUAAAUUAAUGAAAAUGACUUUGUUUGGUCGUAAGCACAAGUCAUGUAACAGAUUUGUCGAGAAGCAGUUAUUUUAAUUUGUCCUGUACCAUUAUUCUGUUUUUAUCGGUUAUAUUUAACAGACUAUGGUAGUUUUGAACAAUCGGAAAGUAAAAUGUCAGGAGAUCUAACAGUUACAGCUAUUGCACCUUUUAUUCCUUUAGUUAACUCAAUGUUUUUAUUAAAAUAACAUUUACCAAUGAUUAACCAUUAAAAGGAACAGCUACUCUCCCUCGAAAAGUAUUCAAUACAAAACUGAUUUCAAUAAAGGAAUAUAUAUGUAUCGUAAUUCCAUUUACAGGAACGAUGCCUCAAAAGAUGAAAGUCUGUAUAAUGUAAGCAGAUAUAAAGAGUACGUAAUAAUUGUUACGAUCAAAGUGUAAAAAGUUGAAUUGGCCUGUAGCAAGUAUUGAUAUCUGAUGUCGUUAUUUUUGCUGCAGCCCAUGUGACUUUGACAAUUAUAGCUGUCAAUAUUCCGAUAUUAACUUAUGUAACUAACAUCCCAUUGUAGUUACUUUUAAUUACAGUUCACUUGGCGUUGAAUAUUUUAAAAAUGUAGAAAUGACAAUAUGAGUGCAGGACAGUGAGUGGAAAUAUCUGAAUAGAAUGGAAGUUUUAGUCGUUUUUGCCGUGGUCCUGGCCUAUUUAUGUUCAGAAAGCAAUGGUCUUAUGUGUUAUAAAUGUGAAAAUGAACGAAACAACUUUCUGUGUGUAGGAGAAUAUAAUCUGAAGCAAUGUGAUUCAGGAUUCGAUACUUGUCAGACGACCGUGUCAUACUCAGAGGUAAGCGAACAGCUUUCAAUAAUCAAGACCUGUACGAAAAAUUCCUCGUGUCACCUGCAAAUAAAAGAACAUUCGGAAUCCGACCCAUGUGAUCAAACAGGAAGUAGCUGGAUAUGCACCACCUGUUGUAAUGAGGACGCAUGUAAUUUAAACAAUGCACCUAGUAAAGCGUCGUUUUCAUCCGUUCUGUCAUAUAUGAAUAUAUUUUUGUAUUUAUACAUUAAAUGUAUUGUAUAAAAUCUA